rnacentral:rRNA from 1 species
GUGGGGAAUAUUGCACAAUGGGGGAAACCCUGAUGCAGCAACGCCGCGUGAAGGAAGACGGUUUUCGGAUUGUAAACUUCUGUUCUUAGUGAAGAAUAAUGACGGUAGCUAAGGAGCAAGCCACGGCUAACUACGUGCCAGCAGCCGCGGUAAUACGUAGGUGGCAAGCGUUGUCCGGAAUUACUGGGUGUAAAGGGAGCGUAGGCGGGAUGCCAAGUCAGCUGUGAAAACUAUGGGCUUAACUUGUAGACUGCAGUUGAAACUGGUAUUCUUGAGUGAAGUAGAGGUUGGCGGAAUUCCGAGUGUAGCGGUGAAAUGCGUAGAUAUUCGGAGGAACACCGGUGGCGAAGGCGGCCAACUGGGCUUUAACUGACGCUGAGGCUCGAAAGUGUGGGGAGCAAACAGGAUUAGAAACCCCAGUAGUCC